rnacentral:rRNA from 1 species
CCUACGGGGGGCUGCAGUGGGGAAUUUUGGACAAUGGGGGCAACCCUGAUCCAGCCAUGCCGCGUGCGGGAAGAAGGCCUUCGGGUUGUAAACCGCUUUCGGCCGGAACGAAAUCGCCGGGGAGAACAUCCCCGGUGGAUGACGGUACCGGAAGAAGAAGCACCGGCUAACUACGUGCCAGCAGCCGCGGUAAUACGUAGGGUGCGAGCGUUAAUCGGAAUGAGUGCACGCAGUUCGUGCACAGGGGGGUGAAAUCCCCGGGCUUAACCCGGGAACUGCGUUUGUGACUGGCGGGCUGGAGUGCGGAAGAGGGAGGUGGAAUUCCACGUGUAGCAGUGAAAUGCGUAGAGAUGUGGAGGAACACCGAUGGCGAAGGCAGCCUCCUGGUCUAGCACUGACGCUCAUGCACGAAAGCGUGGGGAGCAAACAGGAUUAGAUACCCCAGUAGUC